UACGGAGGGUGCGAGCGUGUCCGGAAUCAUUGGGCGUAAAGGGCGCGUAGGUGGCCACUUCAAGCGUGCGGUGAAAGUCGGGGGCUCAACCCCUGAUCGGCCGUGCGAACUGGGGGGGCUGGAGCACUGUAGAGGCAGGCGGAAUUCCGGGUGUGAGCGGUGGAAUGCGUAGGAGAUCCGGGAAGAACACCGGUGGCGAAGGCGGUU
rnacentral:rRNA from 1 species